rnacentral:rRNA from 1 species
UGCAAGUCGAACGAUGAAGCCCAGCUUGCUGGGUGGAUUAGUGGCGAACGGGUGAGUAACACGUGAGUAACCUGCCCCCGACUCUGGGAUAAGCCCGGGAAACUGGGUCUAAUACCGGAUAUUACCUUUGACCGCAUGGUUGUUGGUGGAAAGAUUUAUCGGUGGGGGAUGGACUCGCGGCCUAUCAGCUUGUUGGUGAGGUAAUGGCUCACCAAGGCGACGACGGGUAGCCGGCCUGAGAGGGUGACCGGCCACACUGGGACUGAGACACGGCCCAGACUCCUACGGGAGGCAGCAGUGGGGAAUAUUGCACAAUGGGCGAAAGCCUGAUGCAGCGACGCCGCGUGAGGGAUGACGGCCUUCGGGUUGUAAACCUCUUUCAGUAGGGAAGAAGCGAAAGUGACGGUACCUGCAGAAGAAGCGCCGGCUAACUACGUGCCAGCAGCCGCGGUAAUACGUAGGGCGCAAGCGUUAUCCGGAUUUAUUGGGCGUAAAGAGCUCGUAGGCGGUUUGUCGCGUCUGCCGUGAAAGUCCGAGGCUCAACCUCGGAUCUGCGGUGGGUACGGGCAGACUAGAGUGAUGUAGGGGAGACUGGAAUUCCUGGUGUAGCGGUGAAAUGCGCAGAUAUCAGGAGGAACACCGAUGGCGAAGGCAGGUCUCUGGGCAUUUACUGACGCUGAGGAGCGAAAGCAUGGGGAGCGAACAGGAUUAGAUACCCUGGUAGUCCAUGCCGUAAACGUUGGGCACUAGGUGUGGGGGACAUUCCACGUUUUCCGCGCCGUAGCUAACGCAUUAAGUGCCCCGCCUGGGGAGUACGGCCGCAAGGCUAAAACUCAAAGGAAUUGACGGGGGCCCGCACAAGCGGCGGAGCAUGCGGAUUAAUUCGAUGCAACGCGAAGAACCUUACCAAGGCUUGACAUGUGCCAGACCGCCUCAGAGAUGGGGUUUCCCUUCGGGGCUGGUUCACAGGUGGUGCAUGGUUGUCGUCAGCUCGUGUCGUGAGAUGUUGGGUUAAGUCCCGCAACGAGCGCAACCCUCGUUCCAUGUUGCCAGCACGUAAAGGUGGGGACUCAUGGGAGACUGCCGGGGUCAACUCGGAGGAAGGUGGGGAUGACGUCAAAUCAUCAUGCCCCUUAUGUCUUGGGCUUCACGCAUGCUACAAUGGCCGGUACAAUGGGUUGCGAUACUGUGAGGUGGAGCUAAUCCCUAAAAGCCGGUCUCAGUUCGGAUUGGGGUCUGCAACUCGACCCCAUGAAGUCGGAGUCGCUAGUAAUCGCAGAUCAGCAACGCUGCGGUGAAUACGUUCCCGGGCCUUGUACACACCGCCCGUCAAGUCACGAAAGUUGGUAACACCCGAAGCCGAUGGCCUAACCACCUUGUGUGGGGGGA